GGGUGUGAGGGCGAUCUGGCUGCUACAUCUGUUACCCUGUUGAUGGCAUGAUUCAGCUGAUCUAGCUGGUGAGGUGGGUGUCCGCUUCCUCCCUCACUGCUGUAUGUGUGUCCCUCCUGAAGCUGUGUGCUUGGUCAAAGAGGACAACCUUCCCAGACAUGAGAGUAUCAUUUUUCCUCAUUCACGGGCACACAAGCAGCUAUGCUUCCCAGAUAGAACUCCCACCAAACAAGCUCUCAAGGGUGUAGCUUUCAAAUUAAUAAUUCUACAAAACAUGGCUUU
rfam:Heterocephalus glaber contig224453, whole genome shotgun sequence.